rnacentral:tRNA from 1 species
GCCAAUGUGGCUCAGUAGCUAGAGCAUCGGACUGCAUACCAAAGAGUCUUGGGUUCGAUUCCCAGUCAAGGGCA